UAUUCUAGUGUAAAAUAAAAUGAAAUACGGAAGGCAUGGACUCCGUGAACGUCCUGCGCUGCACGUAUCAUGAAGAUGCAGCCCUUGAAUUCGUCAAAGAUACUAGAUUCAGGGAAAGUGAGCAAUACAAGGUCACUGAACAUUGUUUUCGAGUAAUUAUUCAGUGCCCCAAAUUCUUCUCUACCACACAUUUGUUUGGGCUCCACACAAUGUGUGUGGAGCCCAAACAAAUGUGUGGUGGAGAAAGAGUUUGGGGCACCAAGUGGCGGUGCCCUAGUGGCAUUGAAUAACUUUCCAUUGUUUUCCUAGUUAAAAUCAAACCCCCAACCCCCCAACCCAGCCAGAUGGUUCUUUUGUUUUACUUUCUGUUCUUUUUGUCGUCUUAGAUUGCAUAAAAGGGGGGUUUGGCCUGAAAUACAACUAAAAUGUGACAAUGCAGGGUCAUGUAGCUUAUUUGGCCUCAUUGCUUUGCUUUCGUUGUGUGCACUUUAGAUUAGGUGGUCAUCAUCUAAUCUUGGAUGGCUCGCAUCUUAGUCUUGAGAUGGUCCCCAUCCUUGUCGUAUUGGCCUGGGUUAUACCCCUUGAAUUGCUAUUUUACUACUUCAUUUUUUUAACAGCGCUAAUUUUCUACUUUAUCCUUGUAUACUCCCGCUAACCCCAAAGAAUUCUGUAUGAGACUGGAGUGACAGUCACAUUGAUAGUCCUCUAACAGCCUAAUUGAGAAAAGUAUAACUCCGAAGUUUUCACUUCUCUAAGCUUUGUGGUAUGGCCACACUUAGGCUGAAAAAGUGGGCAAAGAGCAACAAGAUUUGCGGUGUUCAAGCUCUGCGUUUGGUCAAGACAAACCGUCUUCAGACGGAGUAAGUGGAUACAAUGCACUGUUAGGCCAUGUUUACUCUUCCUGGAUUAGACGAGGAAUUGGACAAAUAACACAUUGAUCCCAGAUAUUUUCCUUGUUCUCUAAUCACUCAAAUCCCACAUUUGGUCAUCCACAGGGGGCGAGUAUAUAGUCAAGUUGGACUGUUAAUUCAUUCAACUUGGUUAACUAAUACCACCCCUCACCCGGGACAAGUACUACCAAUGUCCAGAUCAUCUUCCUCCCUCCAUCGGCAAUCCUAACCAAAGUUAACAUCAUAUUACAGUAAUCCAAUGGUAUGGGGAAACCCAUCAAAAGUCCCUACUGCUGAAGGAUCAGCAAUAUAAUUUGAUGCAUGUCAUAUCGCCAUGCACCAAAGACAGAUCAAUAGCCAAACAACAGAAACAACCUCACAGGUUAUUCUUCUGGUUAGAGAAUCCAUCCCACAUUGCUUCUCUCAAUCAUUCAAGCUCGUCCAUAACUUCCAAAGGCUUGGGUUGAUUGCCUCCAAACUUCUGACAUGCUACUGACUGAUGUCAGCUUUCUUUUUUCUGCUGGAUACCAUUUUCAAACGAAAAAAAAUGUGGACUACUACGCAGUCUUGCUGACAAAGUUGAUGUACGGAUUUGAACCAUAUUGUUGGUGGAAAAACGAAGAAAGUGCACCCAGCAGCAUUGAGUUAAUGCUUCAUCUUCUAAUGCAUUUGGAGGUCUCGGCUGCUAAGACACAAUUUCAAUAGCAAUUAUUCUUCUACAUAGAUUUGUCGGCGAGGCAAGUAAUGGUCUGAUGUUUCUAAUUGCAGAAGCAUGAACAGAAGUCCCAGACCAUCUAUAGGAAGAAGCUCCUGAAGGAUCCACAACUGUCAAGUUUCAGCAUAAAUCCAUUGAAAGAUAGUUCGUUCAUCUUUAACGAUCAGGAGAACUAGAAAAUUGCAACCUAAGGCAAUUAAAUGAAGGAACUUAUAAGAAGUUGGAGGAUUGUUUUGUGCGACACCAGCUAACAUACUUUCCAUCAGCGUUCAAUCCCCAGAGGUAAGAUUUGCCAUUGCAAAAUAAAGGAACCAUAACGAAUAAUUACUCGCUUACUAUGCGUGUUCAUCAAUACUAGAAGAGGACUGGGAUUGUAUAAUAUGCACCUUAAACUCCGACCAGACUGCUACACAAAUAGAAGAUGGAAGCUAAGUUUGCAAUACAUGAGCGAACUAGGGACAUGAUUUGAUAGCAGCCAUCUCCUUGAAGGGUAAAACAAUAGGGCACCAAGAUACAAGGUGGUACCUGCAUACC